CACCCCUAUAGUGCACCUUUUUAACCACCCCAUUAACUUUUCCAUUUCCUCCCUUGAUCCCAUUAACCUUAUCCCAGGCAGCCAUCAAAUUCGAAUGUUUUACAAAUAUGGUUCUCCCGAGUUGUGAGUGAGUGAGUGAGUGAAAAGUGAGUUGUGAGAACGAGUUUAUGGAUGAAGAGCAAAAGGGAAAAGCCCGUUUAUAUAUAGGAAAGAGAAGAUAGAGAA
rnacentral:lncRNA from 1 species